CAAACGAAUCCAUUUCACUCCCGUGAUGACCUAACACAACGUCAUCCAUUCGUUCACUUACGGGCAUCCUAGCAACACCUCUGGAGGCCUAUGAGGACCCAGGCCCGGGGUGAGCAGCGCACCUGACCCUCUGCUCAGGUCCCAGGACAGGUGCCUCCUCGCAGAAGACCCAAGGGGCCGUGAGGAGGCCGACGGAGCUGUUCCCGAGGCGGGUGCUUCCUCUGCUCCCCCAGGAGGGGGAUCCCGUGUGUGAAAGUAUUUUUGGGACCUGGCGUCUUCACAAGCCCCAAGGGUUAUUCCUGGAGGUGCCAGAGGCUCCAGGUUUCUUGGGAGAGUCUUGGUUUAGGGCCGCAGCUCAGGUGUUAGCGACGCGACCUCCUUGUCCGCUCAGGAGUCUCAGGCUUUGGGCAGUAACCCGCAGCAUCACCUACGUGAAGCCCACGGAACAACGGAGAGUUCACUUAUGUUCAAUGAGGCUUAUGCAACAUAUGACUAAAAAAAAAUUGGGAAAAAAAAAACCCACCCAAGAAUUUGCAAGUUUAUCUGCAGGACCUUUUUGAACAAGUGCAUCGCUUGUAACAAACAUUAUCAUCCAAAGCAUCACGUGCAUCUUCUGGAACAUGAAGUAGAAUUAAAUGGCUGGCAGUCUCUGGGGCGGAGUGAAACUUCUCGUCUGACGUUAUGAGCUGCCUGUAGCUCAUCGGAGAACCAGCCACUCACUAGCUAGAGUAACUGUUUUGAAGACUAAUGUGAAAAGGUAUUUAAUAAAGUAUAAAUG